rnacentral:rRNA from 1 species
UACGGAGGGGGCUAGCGUUGUUCGGAAUUACUGGGCGUAAAGCGCGCGUAGGCGGACCUGCAAGUCGGGGGGUGAAAGCCCGAGGCUCAACCUCGGAACUGCCUUCGAUACUGCGGGUCUCGAGUCCGGGAGAGGUGAGUGGAAUUCCUAGUGUAGAGGUGAAAUUCGUAGAUAUUAGGAAGAACACCGGUGGCGGAAGGCGGGUCUC